rnacentral:rRNA from 1 species
AUGCGGCGCUAUACAUGCAGUCGAGCGAAUGGAUUAAGAGCUUGCUCUUAUGAAGUUAGCGGCGGACGGGUGAGUAACACGUGGGUAACCUGCCCAUAAGACUGGGAUAACUCCGGGAAACCGGGGCUAAUACCGGAUAAUAUUUUGAACCGCAUGGUUCGAAAUUGAAAGGCGGCUUCGGCUGUCACUUAUGGAUGGACCCGCGUCGCAUUAGCUAGUUGGUGAGGUAACGGCUCACCAAGGCAACGAUGCGUAGCCGACCUGAGAGGGUGAUCGGCCACACUGGGACUGAGACACGGCCCAGACUCCUACGGGAGGCAGCAGUAGGGAAUCUUCCGCAAUGGACGAAAGUCUGACGGAGCAACGCCGCGUGAGUGAUGAAGGCUUUCGGGUCGUAAAACUCUGUUGUUAGGGAAGAACAAGUGCUAGUUGAAUAAGCUGGCACCUUGACGGUACCUAACCAGAAAGCCACGGCUAACUACGUGCCAGCAGCCGCGGUAAUACGUAGGUGGCAAGCGUUAUCCGGAAUUAUUGGGCGUAAAGCGCGCGCAGGUGGUUUCUUAAGUCUGAUGUGAAAGCCCACGGCUCAACCGUGGAGGGUCAUUGGAAACUGGGAGACUUGAGUGCAGAAGAGGAAAGUGGAAUUCCAUGUGUAGCGGUGAAAUGCGUAGAGAUAUGGAGGAACACCAGUGGCGAAGGCGACUUUCUGGUCUGUAACUGACACUGAGGCGCGAAAGCGUGGGGAGCAAACAGGAUUAGAUA